UCGAGGAUCUUCGGCAAUGGGCGCAAGCCUGACCGAGCGACGCCGCGUGUGCGAUGAAGGCCUUCGGGUUGUAAAGCACUGUCGAGGGGGAGAAAAGCCGUAAGGUUUGAUCGACCCCUGGAGGAAGCACGGGCUAAGUUUGUGCCAGCAGCCGCGGUAAGACGAACCGUGCGAACGUUGUUCGGAAUCACUGGGCUUAAAGGGCGCGUAGGCGGGCGAUCAAGUCGGAGGUGAAAGCCCAUGGCUCAAC
rnacentral:rRNA from 1 species